rfam:Candidatus Saccharibacteria bacterium 49-20 SCNpilot_bf_inoc_scaffold_22, whole genome shotgun sequence.
AAAAUUGAAUUCGACAUACCAAAGACAGUGGCCGCAGAAAUGCUUAAUUUGCCACCGAGGAAAUGAAAAAUAUACAUUUUUCUAAUUCUGAGUCUUUGGCAGUGCGAGGCCCAAAGACUCAUUUUAAUUUCUAAA